UGGGGAAUAUUGCACAAUGGGCGCAAGCCUGAUGCAGCGACGCCGCGUGAGGGAUGACGGCCUUCGGGUUGUAAACCUCUUUCAGCAGGGACGAAGCGCAAGUGACGGUACCUGCAGAAGAAGCACCGGCCAAUUACGUG
rnacentral:rRNA from 1 species